UACGGGGGGGGCAAGCGUUGUUCGGAAUUACUGGGCGUAAAGGGCUCGUAGGCGGCCAACUAAGUCAUACGUGAAAUCCCUCGGCUUAACCGGGGAACUGCGUCUGAUACUGGAUGGCUUGAGAUUGGGAGAGGGAUGCGGAAUUCCAGGUGUAGCGGUGAAAUGCGUAGAUAUCUGGAGGAACACCGGUGGCGAAGGCGAGUCUCUGGACAGUUACUGACACUGAGGCACGAAGGCCAGGGGAGCAAACGGG
rnacentral:rRNA from 1 species